rnacentral:rRNA from 1 species
UACGGAGGGUGCAAACGUUGCUCGGAAUUAUUGGGCGUAAAGAGCUCGUAGGCGGUCUGUCGCGUCGGCUGUGAAAACCUGGGGCUUAACUCCGGGCCUGCAGCCGAUACGGGCAGACUAGAGUUCGGCAGGGGAGACUGGAAUUCCUGGUGUAGCGGUGAAAUGCGCAGAUAUCAGGAGGAACACCGGUGGCGAAGGCGGGUCUCUGGGCCGAAACUGACGCUGAGGAGCGAAAGCGUGGGGAGCAAACAGG